rnacentral:rRNA from 1 species
UACCGGAUGUGGAUGUCGAUAUGCAUGUAUUGACAUCUAAAGCAUUUAUGCGCUUUGGGAUGGGCUUGCGGCCUGUCAGCUAGUUGGUGAGGUAACGGCUCACCAAGGCGACGACGGGUAGCUGGUCUGAGAGGAUGGUCAGCCGGACUGGGACUGAGACGCGGCCCAGACUCCGACGGGGGGCAGCAAUUAGGAAUCUUGCGCAAUGGGCGAAAGCCUGACGCAGCGACGUCGCGUGAACGAUGAAGUCUUUCGGGAUGUAAAGUUCUUUUCUGAGGGAAGAAGGAUGUGACGGUACCUCAGGAAUAAGCCCCGGCUAACUACGUGCCAGCAGCCGCGGUAAUACGUAGGGGGCGAGCGUUGUCCGAAUUUACUGGGCGUAAAGCGCGCGUAGGCGGACUCUUAAGUUGGUGGUGAAAUGCCGAGGCUCAACCUCGGAACUGCCUUCAAAACUGGGAGUCUAGAGGCUUGGAGAGGGAAGUGGAAUUCCUGGUGUAGCGGUGAAAUGCGUAGAUAUCAGGAGGAACACCGAUGGCGAAGGCAGCUUCCUGGCCAUGUCCUGACGCUGAGGUGCGAAAGCUAGGGUAGCGAACGGGAUUAGAUACCCCGGUAGUCCUAGCCGUAAACGAUGGAUACUAGGUGUUAGAGGUAUCGACCCCUCUAGUGCCGAAGCAAACGCAUUAAGUAUCCCGCCUGGGGAGUACGGCCGCAAGGUUGAAACUCAAAGGAAUUGACGGGGGCCCGCACAAGCGGUGGAGCAUGUGGUUUAAUACGUCACUAACCGUAGAACCUCACCCAGGCUUGACAUCUGCUGAAAGCGCCUGAAAGGGUGGCCCCGGUAUUUUUAUAUCGCAGCAAGACAGGUGUUGCAUGGCUGUCGUCAGCUCGUGUCGUGAGAUGUUGGGUUAAGUCCCGCAACGAGCGCAACCCUCAUCCGAUGUUGCCAGCGUAAAGUCGGGAACUCUUCGGAAACUGCCCGUGCAAGCGGGAGCGAAGGUGGGGAUGACGUCAAGUCAGCAUGGCCCUUACGCCUGGGGCUACACACAUGCUACAAUGGAUGUAAACAAUGGGCAGCAAGACCGCGAGGUGGAGCAAAUCUCAAAGAUACAUCCUCAGUUCGGAUUGCAGUCUGCAACUCGACUGCAUGAAGUCGGAAUCGCUAGUAACCGCA